UAGGGAAUCUUCCACAAUGGACGAAAGUCUGAUGGAGCAAUGCCGCGUGAGUGAAGAAGGUUUACGGAUCGUUAAGCUCUGUUGUAAGGGAAGAACAAGUACAGGAGUAACUGCCUGUACCUUGACGGUACCUUACCAGAAAGCCACGGCUAACUACGUGCCAGCAGCCGCGGUAAUACGUAGGUGGCAAGCGUUGUCCGGAAUUAUUGGGCGUAAAGCGCGCGCAGGCGGUCCUUUAAGUCUGAUGUGAAAGCCCACGGCUCAACCGUGGAGGGUCAUUGGAAACUGGAGGACUUGAGUACAGAAGAGGAAAGCGGAAUUCCACGUGUAGCGGUGAAAUGCGUAGAGAUGUGGAGGAACACCAGUGGCGAAGGCGGCUUUCUGGUCUGUAACUGACGCUGAGGCGCGAAAGCGUGGGGAGCAAACAGGAUUAGAUACCCUGGUAGUCCACGCCGUAAACGAUGAGUGCUAAGUGUUAGGGGGUUUCCGCCCCUUAGUGCUGCAGCUAACGCAUUAAGCACUCCGCCUGGGGAGUACGGCCGCAAGGCUG
rnacentral:rRNA from 1 species